rnacentral:misc_RNA from 1 species
UUGGACGGAAUUUUCCCUUCAAAAGUAUUGUUUUCAAGAUUUAAAAUUUGUAGCCUUUGCAAACGGCCUAGUUCAGAAGGGAUUUCACCUUGUAUGCUGUUGUUUUGUAGCCAAAUCUCCCUAAGGAAACUCAUGUUUCCUAUAUAAGGAGACAAAUUGCCCACCAAGCUCUUAGAAUGAAGAUCCAGAAGGGUGACUUUUUUGUGUCUGCGACCACAGAUGACACCUUCCCAGUUGCAGAAAUGGACAGAACCAUUCCAUGA